ACAAGGGGCAGCUGGGGGGUCCACAUCCAGUAGCUCAUUUGUUACUUCACACACAGAAGGUUCUGGAACCACCACGGGAACUAACGGUUCUUCGCAGGAGGGACUUCCCAGGAGAGAAGCUGCAUGCUUGCUGGGGACACCCAGGGAUGCUGGGCCCUGGGGCGGGCUGGCUCUUCCUGGCGAGGAAUGGAAGCUUCUACUCCGUUUCUGCCUCUCCUGUCUCUUGGGAGGACACAUAUCACUGGAAUUUCAGCCACCUGGACAGUCUCAUCUCGGACCCUUAACCCAAUCCCAUACGCAGAGGGUGAGAUGCCUCAUGGUCUGUGGUGAACUCAGAGAAAGAAGUCACUCAGUUCUGCCUUUGGGGGACUCCCCAUCCAGGAGAGUGUACUUCAUGAAGACCCUCGCGGGCAGGCCGCUCCGACCAGUGAGACCGCCUCGGUGUCCCGAGGAGGGGCCACAGCCUCGCGCCCACAGCUGUCCUCAGCUGGCUGGUCAUCUCACCACUGCUGUGGCUCCCAUCUCCAGGCUCAUCAGGUCAGCUCCAGACAACACGCUUGCUGGUGAGCCUCCCUCAGCUCCCCAGGACAUCUGGGCUGGCAGGACGGGGCCAAGGACCGGCCCACGUGGGUGUGCUCAGUGGGUGGACAGUUGGGGCAGGUGACAGGUGGUCCCAGGAGGCUGAUGCCGGCCCCACUUUGGUGACUGUGUUCCCGUGGCCUCCUGCGCCAGCAGAGCAGCGCCUUUGGGGUUCCUGCCUCGGUGUUUCCUGAGGAGGCUGGAAUCACUGCUUUCACUUUGGUGUGAGAAGUGAUGGUGUGUCUGGGCUGGAGGCCAGUCAGGCAGGUGUGGUGAAGACUGCACUGGGUGUCUCUGGGGGUGUGGGGGACCCUUGCAGGGAGCAGCAGCUGGCCACCUGGGC